rnacentral:rRNA from 1 species
UGAGGAAUAUUGGUCAAUGGGCGCGAGCCUGAACCAGCCAAGUAGCGUGCAGGAAGACGGCCCUAUGGGUUGUAAACUGCUUUUAUGCGGGGAUAAAGGAGUCCACGUGUGGAUUUUUGCAGGUACCGCAUGAAUAAGGACCGGCUAAUUCCGUGCCAGCAGCCGCGGUAAUACGGAAGGUCCGGGCGUUAUCCGGAUUUAUUGGGUUUAAAGGGAGCGUAGGCCGCGUUUUAAGCGUGUUGUGAAAUGUAGACGCCCAACGUCUGCAUCGCAGCGCGAACUGGGAAGCUUGAGUACGCGCAACGUUGGGGGAAUUCGUCGUGUAGCGGUGAAAUGCUUAGAUAUGACGAGGAAGUCCGAUUGCGAAGGCAGCUGACGGGAGCGGCACUGACGCUUAAGCUCGAAGGUGCGGGUAUCAAACAGG